rnacentral:rRNA from 1 species
AUUGAACGCUGGCGGCAGGCCUAACACAUGCAAGUCGAGCGGAUGAAGAGAGCUUGCUCUCUGAUUUAGCGGCGGACGGGUGAGUAAUGCCUAGGAAUCUGCCUGGUAGUGGGGGAUAACGUUCCGAAAGGAACGCUAAUACCGAAUACGUCCUACGGGAGAAAGAAGGGGACCUUCGGGCCUUGCGCUAUCAGAUGAGCCUAGGUAGGAUUAGCUAGUUGGUGAUGUAAUGGCUCACCAAGGCUACGAUCCGUAACUGGUCUGAGAGGAUGAUCAGUCACAAUGGAACUGAGACACGGUCCAGAAUCCUACGGGAGGCAGCAGUGGGGAAUAUUAGACAAUGGGCGAAAGCCUGAUCCAGCCAUGCCGCGUGUGUGAAGAAGGUCUUCGGAUUGUAAAGCACUUUAAGUUGGGAGGAAGGGCAGUAAGUUAAUACCUUGCUGUUUUGACGUUACCGACAGAAUAAGCACCGGCUAACUUCGUGCCAGCCGCCGCAGUAACAC